UACGUAGGGUGCAAGCGUUGUCCGGAAUUAUUGGGCGUAAAGAGCUCGUAGGCGGUUCGUCGCGUCGGCUGUGAAAACCUGAGGCUCAACCUCAGGCCUGCAGUCGAUACGGGCGGACUUGAGUACUGCAGGGGAGACUGGAAUUCCUGGUGUAGCGGUGAAAUGCGCAGAUAUCAGGAGGAACACCGAUGGCGAAGGCAGGUCUCUGGGCCGUAACUGACGCUGGAGGAGCGAAAGCAUGGGGAGCGAACAGG
rnacentral:rRNA from 1 species